rnacentral:rRNA from 1 species
UACGGAGGGAGCGAGCGUUGUCCGAAGUUACUGGGCGUAAAGCGCGCGUAGGCGGCUCUUUAAGUCUGGUGUGAAAGGUUCAGGGCUCAACCCGAACAGUGCACUGGAUACUGGAGAGCUUGAGUUAGGGAGAGGAGAGUGGAAUUCCUGGUGUAGCGGUGAAAUGCGUAGAUAUCAGGAGGAACACCUGUGGUGUAGACAGCUUACUGGACCACUUCUGACGCUGAGACACGAAAGCGUGGGUAGCAAACAGG